ensembl:lncRNA novel transcript, antisense to PCDHB5, PCDHB6, PCDHB7, PCDHB8, PCDHB9, PCDHB10, PCDHB11, PCDHB12, PCDHB13, PCDHB14 and PCDHB16
GGGCCUCGUAGUCCAGCGACCUGAGGGCGAACAGGUGGCCGUUGUCUGUGUUGAUGGAGACCAGGGAGGCGAGGGGCAGAAUCGCGGUCUUGAAUGCUGAAAAGAGCUGCAACGGUCUCAGGAGAAUUUUCGCGGAUGGGGCUUGUGAAUGAAGCCAUGGUCAGUUCCGGAGCGUUAUCGUUGAUAUCUACCACCUGUAUUAUGACAGUGCAUUUUCCAGAAAGACCUGCCCCAUCAGAGGCUUUAAUAUCCACCUGAUAUGACACAAUUUUUUCAAAAUCUAGUUUUCUGAUUAUUUUAAUUUCUCCCCUUCGUUCAUUAAGUGCAAAUGUCUUAGAAAUCUCUUCAUCACCAUAAAAAAUGAGUAGAAUAUCUCACCAUUAA